rnacentral:rRNA from 1 species
UACAGAGGGUGCAAGCGUUGUUCGGAAUUAUUGGGCGUAAAGGGCGCGUAGGCGGUGCUGUAAGUCUGUGGUGAAAUCUCUGGGCUCAACUCAGAGUCUGCCAUAGAAACUGCAGUGCUCGAGUGUGGGAGAGGUGAGUGGAAUUCCCGGUGUAGCGGUGAAAUGCGUAGAUAUCAGGAGGAACACCGGUGGUGUAGACGGCUCUCUGGACCGUAACUGACGCUGAGGCACGAAAGCGUGGGUAGCAAACAGG